AGGAUUAACGCUGGCGGCGUGCCUGACACAUGCAAGUCGAACGAGGCCGCAAGGCCGAGUGGCGGACGGGUGAGUAACACGUGACCAACCAACCUCGAAGUUGGGAAUAGCUCUGCGAAAGUAGGGGUAAUACCGAAUGUGGCCCAGGGCGGGCAUCCGCCUUGGUCUAAAGAUUCAUCGCUUCGAGACGGGGUCGCGGCCUAUUAGCUUGUUGGUGAGGUAACGGCUCACCAAGGCGAUGAUGGGUAGCUGGUCUGAGAGGACGACCAGCCACACUGGGACUGAGACACGGCCCAGACUCCUACGGGAGGCAGCAGUGAGGAAUCUUCAGCAAUGGGCGAAAGCCUGACGCAGCGACGCCGCGUGGGGGAUGAAGGCCUUCGGGUUGUAAACCCUUUCAGCAGGGACGAAGCGAAAGUGACGGUACCUGCAGAAGAAGCGCCGGCUAACUACGUGCCAGCAGCCGCGGUAA
rnacentral:rRNA from 1 species